rnacentral:rRNA from 1 species
GACGAACGCUGGCGGCGUGCUUAACACAUGCAAGUCGAACGGAAAGGCCCUGCUUUUGUGGGGUGCUCGAGUGGCGAACGGGUGAGUAACACGUGAGUAACCUGCCCUUGACUUUGGGAUAACUUCAGGAAACUGGGGCUAAUACCGGAUAGGAGCUCCUGCUGCAUGGUGGGGGUUGGAACGUUUCGGCGGUUGGGGAUGGACUCGCGGCUUAUCAGCUUGUUGGUGGGGUAGUGGCUUACCAAGGCUUUGACGGGUAGCCGGCCUGAGAGGGUGACCGGCCACAUUGGGACUGAGAUACGACCCAGACUCCUAGGGGAGGAAGCAGUGGGAAAUAUUACACAAAGGGCGGAAGCCUGAGGCAGAAACACCGCGUGCGGGAUGACGGCCUUCGGGUUGUAAACCGCUUUCGCCUGGGACGAAGCGUGAGUGAGGGUAAUGGGUAAAGAAGCACCGGCUAACUACGUG